UGGGGAAUAUUGCACAAUGGAGGGAACUCUGAUGCAGCGACGCCGCGUGAACGAAGAAGGCUUUCGAGUCGUAAAGUUCUUUUAUAUGGGAAGAUAAUGACGGUACCAUAAGAAGAAGCCCCGGCUAACUACGUGCCAGCAGCCGCGGUAAUACGUAGGGGGCUAGCGUUGUCCGGAAUCACUGGGCGUAAAGGGUUCGCAGGCGGAAAUGCAAGUCAGGUGUAAAAGGCAGUAGCUUAACUACUGUAAGCAUUUGAAACUGCAUAUCUUGAGAAGAGUAGAGGUAAGUGGAAUUUUUAGUGUAGCGGUGAAAUGCGUAGAUAUUAAAAAGAAUACCGGAGGCGAAGGCGACUUACUGGGCUCAUUCUGACGCUGAGGAACGAAAGCGUGGGUAGCAAACAGG
rnacentral:rRNA from 1 species